CAACAUCAUAUUGUUCUGAUAAGAUGAAUUUUGUCAAGUUCUGCUCUGUCAGUUUUUGGUUUGGAGCUCUAGCUUAGUGUUCCUUCGCUUAAUAGCUGUUUGCUGUCUUCUUAGCCAGUGACGAUUUGUUAGAAAGGUAAAAUUUUUUUGUUUGAACCUAAAAAAGUUUAAAAGAAUUCCACCUUUUUAAAGAAUGAUAAUCAUGUAAACCUUUUUUCUUUAUUCUAUCGAGGAACUUGAGGCAAAACAAGAGCUAAUAUCUGGUAAAUCCUCGGUAUGUAAGGAUGAAGUCUGCAUAAAUAAAUGCCUAAUUAGCUAAAAUUGGGGCUCGUAAUGAUGUGGAGUUGCAGAGACACAAACAUGGGUGAACUACAUUGCUUGUAUUCUAACGUGUUGCUCAUGCUGUUUAGAAUUUGGAUAAUAGAGGUUAGUCACAAUGCCCAGUGUCAUGAACAAUGUUGCUUUGUGACCCUGUUACUUCUUGUUCUUGUUAUAACUCUUUUGUCCCCCGGUGCUUGCAUAUGGCUUUAGAUUAUACCAAGUGUAAGAUUCAGGCUAUAGCCUUAUCUUUUAUUUCAGACUGAAAAUCAUGCUUAACUUAGGCUUCUGCGCAUACCAAGAUUUGGCUCAGCUUGCUAGGCCUCAUAAUAUUUUGUGACCAUGUUGUUUCUGUUCCUAUCUUUAGUUGCGCGUAACUGCAUGACACUAUCUUCCACGAUUCCAUUUGGCUUCUUUCUAGCCAGUUACUAUCCUAAGGUCGCCUACAGCCCGUCAAAGAUGGUUUUCUAUAUUAGGUUUUACUUAUUCUUGAUUGCCAUGUUUCUUUCCGUACUCUUUGCUCUGUUCUUGACAACACAAAACAAAGCUACUACUGUAAUAUUUAUAAUGCACUUUUACUGGAAAGAAGCUCUUAGGAUUGUGAUUUGGAAAUUUAUCAUCAUGACACAUGUGACCAUGAAGCUAGGAGUCCUCUUAAACAAAUGCAUUAAGCUAUUUCUAGAUUAAUAAGUGCUUAAUGUGGAAAUAGGUAAUCAUGCGUAUGUUUGGCAUGUAGUAGAGAUUAUGCCCAUUCUAUGUCUUGGUUUCGAGUCAUAUGAAGCUAUUGUAUUUCCAGUAAUCUGCUUUUACUUGUAAGGCAAUAUCAUGGAUAGUAACGGUCUUGUAUCCCCAAAUAUGAUUUGCCCGAGAGUCUGUUUUCUCUAUUUGGUCAUAGGCCUCUGCGUCUGCAUAAUUGCGUUAAGAAGCUUAUUAGGAUGUCAGUGCUGCCGGUGGGUCCAUUGCUUUUGGUGAUGGCCAUGAUGUCAGUAUUUAAUAUGUGACUUCUUGCAUUACAUGUAUGUUGUACUGUAAACUAGAUAUCUUAGAUUCCUGUUUCUUCUCUUGACUUGCAUAGUAUAGUUGUUGGAUAGCACAAACAUGGCAUAGUCGGGGGAGGGUACAGCAUGGCCUGGAAAAUGGCGUACUUGUAUCCGCCAUCAGACAGCAUGUGGCCUUGUCACAAACCUCUGUUCCCAGCAAGGCAAUGCAUGGACUUGGAGCAAGCAUUGGUGUUCCUCAUCGUCCCUGCAUUGUUUGAAUUCCAUCCAGUGCUCUAAGCUUAUAUACUUGCCAGGUUUAUGCUUGACUCAUAUUGUGUCCUUGAAUCUGCCUCCUGGCUUUUUGUUUAAAGUUUGGCUCUUGGGCCUGUAAAGGUGAGUGUAAUUUGCUGAUGGAUCACCUUAAAAAGACUCUCAAUACCACAGCUUGUCUUGCAAGUUACGGAUACGCAUGUUUGUCCAGCACCCUGCUUAUAUGAGAAAAAGACAUGUGCAAUGCCUAAAUGAAAUUCUGUUAGCUAGACGAAUCAAUUCUGAUAAUUAAAACUUCAGCUAUUUGAUUUGACUAUUGAAUAUAUGAAGAAAGUUUGUGAAUUCAAUUCUUGCCCCUUAAUGGUGUCUUGUAUUUCCUAUUCUUCUAUUGAUUUUGGACAUUGCUGAAUUCCAG
rnacentral:lncRNA from 1 species